rnacentral:rRNA from 1 species
GUAGGGAAUAUUGCGCAAUGGGGGAAACCCUGACGCAGCAACGCCGCGUGGAGGAUGACACUUUUCGGAGCGUAAACCCCUUUUGUUAGGGAAGAAUAAUGACGGUACCUAACGAAUAAGCACCGGCUAACUCCGUGCCAGCAGCCGCGGUAAUACGGAGGAUGCAAGCGUUACUCGGAAUCACUGGGCGUAAAGGACGCGUAGGCGGAUUAUCAAGUCUCUUGUGAAAUCUAGUGGCUUAACCACUAAACUGCUUGGGAAACUGAUAAUCUAGAGUAAGGGAGAGGCAGAUGGAAUUCUUGGUGUAGGGGUAAAAUCCGUAGAGAUCAAGAAGAAUACUUAUUGCGAAGGCGAUCUGCUAGAACUUAACUGACGCUAAUGCGUGAAAGCGUGGGGAGCAAACAGGAUUAGAUACCCUGGUAGUCCACGCCCUAAACGAUGUAUACUGGUUGUUGCUAUGCUAGUCAUGGCAGUAAUCCACCUAACGGAUUAAGUAUACCGCCUGGGGAGUACGGUCGCAAGAUUA